AUGAACGCUGGCGGCGUGCCUCAUACAUGCAGGUCGAGCGAACAGACGAGGAGCUUGCUCCUCUGACGUUAGCGGCGGACGGGUGAGUAACACGUGGAUAACCUACCUAUAAGACUGGGAUAACUUCGGGAAACCGGAGCUAAUACCGGAUAAUAUAUUGAACCGCAUGGUUCAAUAGUGAAAGACGGUUUUGCUGUCACUUAUAGAUGGAUCCGCGCCGCAUUAGCUAGUUGGUAAGGUAACGGCUUACCAAGGCAACGAUGCGUAGCCGACCUGAGAGGGUGAUCGGCCACACGGGAACUGAGACACGGUCCAGACUCCUACGGGAGGCAGCAGUAGGGAAUCUUCCGCAAUGGGCGAAAGCCUGACGGAGCAACGCCGCGUGAGUGAUGAAGGUCUUCGGAUCGUAAAACUCUGUUAUUAGGGAAGAACAAAUGUGUAAGUAACUAUGCACGUCUUGACGGUACCUAAUCAGAAAGCCACGGCUAACUACGUG
rnacentral:rRNA from 1 species